rnacentral:rRNA from 1 species
GACGAACGCUGGCGGCGUGCUUAACACAUGCAAGUCGAACGGAAAGGCCCUUCGGGGUACUCGAGUGGCGAACGGGUGAGUAACACGUGGGUGAUCUGCCCUGCACUUUGGGAUAAGCCUGGGAAACUGGGUCUAAUACCGAAUAGGACUACGCGAUGCAUGUCGUGUGGUGGAAAGCUUUUGCGGUGUGGGAUGGGCCCGCGGCCUAUCAGCUUGUUGGUGAGGUUACGGCUCACCAAGGCGACGACGGGUAGCCGGCCUGAGAGGGUGACCGGCCACACUGGGACUGAGAUACGGCCCAGACUCCUACGGGAGGCAGCAGUGGGGAAUAUUGCACAAUGGGCGCAAGCCUGAUGCAGCGACGCCGCGUGAGGGAUGACGGCCUUCGGGUUGUAAACCUCUUUCGCCAGGGACGAAGCGCAAGUGACGGUACCUGGAGAAGAAGGACCGGCCAACUACGUGCCAGCAGCCGCAGUAAUACGUAGGGUCCGAGCGUUGUCCGGAAUUACUGGGCGCAAAGAGCUCGUAGGUGGUUUGUCGCGUUGUUCGUGAAAACUCACAGCUCAACUGUGGGCGUGCGGGCGAUACGGGCAGACUGGAGUACUGCAGGGGAGACUGGAAUUCCUGGUGUAGCGGUGGAAUGCGCAGAUAUCAGGAGGAACACCGGUGGCGAAGGCGGGCCUCUGGGCAGUAACUGACGCUGAGGAGCGAAAGCGUGGGGAGCGAACAGGAUUAGAUACCCUGGUAGUCCACGCCGUAAACGGUGGGUACUAGGUGUGGGUUCCCUUCCUUGGGAUCCGUGCCGUAGCUAACGCAUUAAGUACCCCGCCUGGGGAGUACGGCCGCAAGGCUAAAACUCAAAGAAAUUGACGGGGGCCCGCACAAGCGGCGGAGCAUGUGGAUUAAUUCGAUGCAACGCGAAGAACCUUACCUGGGUUUGACAUGCCCAGGACGUGCCUAGAGAUAGGUAUUCCCUUGUGGCCUGUGUGCAGGUGGUGCGUGGCUGUCGUCAGCUCGUGUCGUGAGAUGUUGGGUUAAGUCCCGCAACGAGCGCAACCCUUAUCUUAUGUUGCCAGCGCGUAAUGGCGGGGACUCGUGAGAGACUGCCGGGGUCAACUCGGAGGAAGGUGGGGAUGACGUCAAGUCAUCAUGCCCCUUAUGUCCAGGGCUUCACACAUGCUACAAUGGCCGGUACAAAGGGCUGCGAUGCCGUGAGGUGGAGCGAAUCCUUUCAAAGCCGGUCUCAGUUCGGAUCGGGGUCUGCAACUCGACCCCGUGAAGUCGGAGUCGCUAGUAAUCGCAGAUCAGCAACGCUGCGGUGAAUACGUUCCCGGGCCU